UUUGAAAAUCUUAAGACGUCUUGAUCUAUGCAAUUCCCUUCAUAAGGGAUACCAUUGUUUUUAGAAAGGAACUUAAGUUUGUAUUGAUCAAAAUUUAAUCACUCGAUCGCGACAGCCACAAUUCCGCCCCUAUUAUUUUGUGAAGGAAAUCAACAAAGUUGACUUCAUCCCAUCAUUACUAUAUCAACAAAAGCAAUGAGGCCAAGGUCUUUCCAUGUCUAGAAAGCUUCCCCGUCCUAACCAUGACAAGUUAUAACAAAUAUAAGAAGGUUUUUCGACUACAAAAAUAAAAAGAAAAAAAAAAGAACUGAAAGGGGGCUUCCUCUCCGACUUCUCCUCCAACAUCCCAAAAGGAUGAGCAGAGCUCCUAGAAAGAGGAUCUUUCACCUACGGAGAAAGAAAGGAAGCUCCAUUUUUUAUAUUUAAGAAGGGGGCAAAAAUGAUUGUAACUUUCUUUUCCUCUCUAAGGAGAGGCAGGCAAAAAUUCUAUCAUCAAUAAAAUU
rnacentral:lncRNA from 1 species